AUCCAUCUGACGAGUCCCAAACAGGACGAAACGCGUAUCUCGUAU
rnacentral:hammerhead_ribozyme from 1 species